rnacentral:rRNA from 1 species
CACGUAGGGCGCAAGCGUUUGUCCGGAAUUAUUGGGCGUAAAGAGCUCGUAGGCGGUCUGUUACGUCUGCUGUGAAACCCGGGGACCUUAACCCUGGCUUGCAGUGGAUACGGGCAGACUAGAGGCGAGGUAGGGGAGAAUGGGAAUUCCCGGUGUAGCGGUGAAAUGCGCAGAUAUCGGGAGGAACACCGGUGGCGAAGGCGGUUCUCUGGGCCUGACCUGACGCUGAGGAGCGAAAGCGUGGGGAGCGAACAGG